GAAAUAAAGAUGGGAAGCUGGAGCUGGAUUUUGAUACACACAAGCAUGAUACUUGGAUAGCAGAAUUCCUUGCAGACCAUGGGGACAUUCCCAGCAGAAAAGUUCUGCACUCUGAGAAGAUGGUUCCAGAGUUUCCUGGCCCAGAAAUGGAGUAUUCAUUAUGGAUUUUGGCUUCACCUGGAAAAGACUCCAUGCAACUAGAAUUCUCCUGCCUGUUCUGCUGUGCUGUCCCCUCUCCCAAGCACACUACAGUGUCUUGUACCUGAAGCCUUGCAUGCAGAUUGUCCUGCAGAAGAAGGUGAACACUCAUCUGAUCACCAAGAGUCUGGCCACUGUUGAAUAUGAUUUUUGCAAGCCAAGAUUCAUUAGCAAAAGGGUGAAGAUCGUUUUUGGAUUCACCUGCAAGAAGAAAAGCUACUAUGGGAUCAUGAUGUACCACAACAACUGACUCAUCAGAUCCUACGAGAAGGUGGGAUGUCAAAGGAAGACAGAUGAUUGUUGUGUUGGGACAGAAACUCAACAGCUAUUGGAUG